rnacentral:lncRNA from 1 species
CUCUCUUCACUUUAAUUCGACGCUUAAAAAUUAUUUUCGCUUUUCCUGAUUUCUGCCGAGGGAAGCAUGGGGAAGCUCCAUCGUGAUUAGCAGCACCAAGAACGAGUUUAGAGUUUAUUCAGUUUGCGCGUUCGCGCACAGUCGUUUGACAGAUGCGCAGUCCCGAGUUAUAGUGUAUACCCGAGUCCCUUGCCGAGCAUAGAUAUAUAUUUUUUUAAUUUCUCUACUUUGCCGAGUCCCUUCGUAUCAGUCCUCGCGCGCGGAUGCGUCGUCUUGCCGACAGUCAAGCUGUGUUCACCGAGAAGCUGCCCAUCGUGGAUCGCGUCGAAGACUUCUCAGGCUGCCGACAUGCUGACUGUUUGUGACAGCAACAUCAACCUUCAUUGUUGCGUGCCUGAUUUUGCACUGCGCACUGACAGUGCUGACUCGAAGAUAGUGUACUACGAUAUCUUCAACCGUCACUAUCAACCGAAUGAUGAUUACCAAUAUGCCAGAGCCAUUUUCACAGGCCAGCACAAGGAAGACAACUUCAAGGGAGCAAAUUCAACGUCUACAGAAAGAACUUUAUAUAUCUUGGUUGUGCAGAUAAACUAGCCUAGCGUCUCCAAUGCUUUGCACUUACUCCUACGGUUUGAGUUCAAAUUUGUG